rfam:Triticum aestivum genome assembly, contig: Triticum_aestivum_CS42_TGACv1_scaffold_223587_3B
AACGUACUCUCUCCGUCCAAAAAUACUCGUCAUCAAAAUAGACGAAAAGAAAUGUAUCUAGAACUAAAAUACAUGUAGAUACAUCCCCUUUUAUUCAUUUUGAUGACAAGUAUUUCCGGACGGAAGGAGUACUAU